CUGCACGAAGUUGGAAUUGCUAGUAAUCGCGGAUCAGCAUGCCGCGGUGAAUACGUUCCCGGGUCUUGUACACACCGCCCGUCACACCAUGGGAGCCGGUAAUACCCGAAGUCAGUAGUUUAACCCUUGUGGAGGACGCUGCCGAAGGUAGGAUUGGCGACUGGGGUGAAGUCGUAACAAGGUACC
rnacentral:rRNA from 1 species